GAUGAACGCUGGCGGCGUGCCUAAUACAUGCAAGUCGAGCGAACAGACGAGGAGCUUGCUGCUCUGACGUUAGCGGCGGACGGGUGAGUAACACGUGGAUAACCUACCUAUAAGACUGGGAUAACUUCGGGAAACCGGAGCUAAUACCGGAUAAUAUAUUGAACCGCAUGGUUCAAUAGUGAAAGACGGUUUUGCUGUCACUUAUAGAUGGAUCCAGGCCGGAUUAGCUAGUUGGUACGGUAACGGCUUACCAAGGCGACGAUGCGUAGCCGACCUGAGAGGGGGAUCGGCCACACUGGAACUGAGACACGGCCCAGACUCCUACGGGAGGCAGCAGUAGGGAAUCUUCGGCAAUGGGCGCAAGCCUGACGCAGCAAUGCCGCGUGAGUGAUGAAGGCCUUCGGAUCGUAAAACGCUGUUAUUAGGGAAGAACACCUGUGGAAGUAAACAUGGAGGUCUUGACGGUACCGGAUCAAAAAGCAACGGCUAACUACGUG
rnacentral:rRNA from 1 species